UUCUCCUGAUUUUUUCUAGGUGAGGAGAUAAUCUCUGGAGCUCAAAGAGUGCACAUAGCUGACUUAUUAACAUCUCGAGCAGAGGCUUGUGAAUUGAUGUCAAUACAAUAUCGCAUAUGUGAAUUCAUUUCGAUACGGCGCAUGUCCUCAUGGUGGCUUCGGAGUAGGACUAGAGCGAGUGGUUAUGCUCUUCUGCGGUCUUAGCAACAUUCGUCAGACCUCGCUCUUCCCUCGUGACCCACAGAGGCUGGUUCCAUAACAACAACGUUCUGAUCUCUCAAUAUUUUUCUCUGAUCUCCUCGCUUUGCAGGAGAUUCAGUUCUAAUUUUAUGGGCUUGACAUAAGAUAUAAUAAUUCCAUCGUUGAAGGUAUUAUUUGUGCCAUUUUUUGUGAAAUAAACUUUCUAUAUUUUUAUUUCUUAUAUUCUGCUGAAUAU